UACGUAGGGUGCGAGCGUUGUCCGGAAUUACUGGGCGUAAAGAGCUCGUAGGUGGUUUGUCGCGUUGUUCGUGAAAACUCACAGCUUAACUGUGGGCGUGCGGGCGAUACGGGCAGACUGGAGUACUGCAGGGGGAGACUGGAAUUCCUGGUGUAGCGGUGGAAUGCGCAGAUAUCAGGAGGAACACCGGUGGCGAAGGCGGGGUCUCUGGGCAGUAACUGACGCUGAGGAGCGAAAGCGUGGGGGAGCGAACAGG
rnacentral:rRNA from 1 species